rnacentral:rRNA from 1 species
AUUGAACGCUGGCGGCAGGCCUAACACAUGCAAGUCGAACGAGUGGCGGACGGGUGAGUAAUGUCUGGGAAACUGCCUGACGGAGGGGGAUAACUACUGGAAACGUUAGCUAAUACCGCAUACCAUCGGAUGUGCCCAGCUGGGAUUCGCUAGUAGGUGGGGUAACGGCUCACCUAGGCGACGAUCCCGAGCUGGUCUGAGAGGAUGACCAGCAACACUGGAACUGAGACACGGACCAGAGUCCUACGGGAUGCAGCAGUGGGUAAUAGUGCACAAUGGGCGCAAGCCGGAUGCAGCCAUGCCGCGUGUAUGAAGAAGGCCUUCGGGUUGUAAAGUACUUUCAGCGGGGAGGCGUUACCCGCAUAAGAAGCACCGGCUAACUCCGUGCCAGCAGCCGCGGUAAUAC